rnacentral:rRNA from 1 species
GACGAACGCUGGCGGCGUGCCUAAUACAUGCAAGUUGAGCGAUGAAGAUUGGUGCUUGCACCAAUUUGAAGAGCGGCGAACGGGUGAGUAACGCGUGGGGAAUCUGCCUUUGAGCGGGGGACAACAUUUGGAAACGAAUGCUAAUACCGCAUAAUAACUUUAAACAUAAGUUUUAAGUUUGAAAGAUGCAAUUGCAUCACUCAAAGAUGAUCCCGCGUUGUAUUAGCUAGUUGGUGAGGUAAAGGCUCACCAAGGCGAUGAUACAUAGCCGACCUGAGAGGGUGAUCGGCCACAUUGAGACUGAGACACGGCCCAAACUCCUACGGGAGGCAGCAGUAGGGAAUCUUCGGCAAUGGACGAAAGUCUGACCGAGCAACGCCGCGUGAGUGAAGAAGGUUUUCGGAUCGUAAAACUCUGUUGGUAGAGAAGAACGUUGGUGAGAGUGGAAAGCUCAUCAAGUGACGGUAACUACGCAGAAAGGGACGGCUAACUACGUG